CGACGGGCUGUCGCACGUAGUCGCACGCAGCAACUGUUCCGAGAGUGUACCUCGCAGGGCCGAUUUGAAUGCUAACCGCCGUCCUCUGUAAAGUUCAAACUAGCUUCCAUUUUUCUCUCCAGCGUCCAAGUAUAUUUUAUUUCAAGAAAGCGUGAUAUAGUACAACUGCAAUGAGAAGAGAUAUAUUAUCCAGUUCCAGCAACUUGUGAAGGCUUUUACCAAAAGUGAAUUAGAAAAUUAGAGGAUGUGCAAUGUAGAGCUCAGUAAGCAAAAUGUAUUAGCAGUAUGUCAGCAGACACAAAAUGUUGAGGUAGAUUAUCGUUAAAUGACAUAAUCUGACAGGAAACUGACAGAAGAAAUUGGACGAUGGGAUCUGUCCUUUGGCUUUUUUCGUAAUUAUUUAUAAAUAAUAUAUUUUAUUUCCUAGUUAAUAUGCCAUCAUAUUUUGUUCUUUUAAAAAUUGAUUAAUUUAGUAUUAAUUACUUAUUCCGAGUAUUAAAAGCAUUAACAAACAAUUGAAGAUACGCGAAUCAAUUUUUUUGUUUCUUUUUACAUUGGUAGAAAUGGACAUAAUUACUUUAAAAAUUUUUAAUCAUUUUUAAUUAAACAAGUUUUCACUUGUGU